CGAUGAGGUAGAGGCUGCAUAGCAUAAGAGUAGUACUACUGGAGGGUGACACCUAAGAUGGUAGAAGAAAGGAUGCUGUGCCGAAGCAAUAUAAGCUGUCAAACUUAUAUUGCUGGGGUUAUCUUGAAUAAGGAUAACACUGCCAUUAUGACCGGUACGGACGGUUCAAUAAUGGAGGGCUACUGAUCGG
rnacentral:ncRNA from 2 species